GACGAACGCUGGCGGCGUGCCUAAUACAUGCAAGUAGAACGCUGAAGGAGGAGCUUGCUUCUCUGGAUGAGUUGCGAACGGGUGAGUAACGCGUAGGUAACCUGCCUGGUAGCGGGGGAUAACUAUUGGAAACGAUAGCUAAUACCGCAUAAUAUUGACUAUUGCAUGAUAGUCAGUUGAAAGGGGCAACUGUACCACUACCAGAUGGACCUGCGUUGCAUUAGCUAGUUGGUGGGGUAACGGCUCACCAAGGCGACGAUACAUAGUCGACCUGAGAGGGGGAUCGGCCACACUGGGACUGGGACACGGCCCAGGCUCCUACGGGAGGGAGCAGUAGGGAAUCCUCGGGAAUGGACGGAAGUCUGACCGGGCAACGCCGGGGGAGUGAAGAAGGUUUUCGGAUCGUAAAGCUCUGUUGUAAGGGAAGAAAGAGUGUGGGAGUGGAAAGCGCACACUGUGACGGUAUCUUACCAGAAAGGGACGGCUAACUACGUG
rnacentral:rRNA from 1 species